AGACCGACUGUUGGGAAUCCGGUACUGGCCCCGGUACCGGAUCUUGUGAAUCUGCAAUCUGCUCUGAUACCGAUGGUUGUGGAUCCGGUACCGAUUGUUGGAAUUCCGCAACGAAAACGUCAAAUCGAAUUUUUACCAUAAACCCGUCUUCUCAGCAAAAACCGAUACAAUCACAAAAGAGAGAAAAAUCAAAACAGAAAAUAUGCGUAUAAAAUAAGAUUCAUUAAAUAAGAGAAGAUUACACCGGACUCCUCUUCUACAACGGAAUAUAUAGCUACAACCCGAACCCUCUUUCUAAAUCUCUUUUACUCUUCUCUCGUCUUUUAUAAAUCUAAAAGACAACUCUCUUUAUCUCUCACAUGCACCCGUGCAUUAAAUGCAUGCAACCGGUCAACUCUCUCUCUCUUUGGUACAACCCAUCAAAGAGUUUCAACUUUUUGGCCAUACUUACUCUCCAAAAGCACCUCACAUGGUGCUUAUAUAAUGCUUACAAUAAAACGUGCCAAAAUCCUAGUAUAUUUAGGAUUCCUACUCUAAUAAAUAUUUAAAUUUAUAUUUCGUUUAUUUUUAAUAGAUUUAAAUAUUUAUUCUAAUCCAGUUAGAUUCAUACUCUAAUUAAUAUUUAAAUCUUAAUUUAUCUCCAACAAAUUUAAAUGUUAAUCCUAAUUCAAUUAGGAUUCAACUACAAAUCUAAUCAAAUCCUAACACCAGCCAUCUUGUCUUCACUA
rnacentral:lncRNA from 1 species